GAGACCGUACUUCAUAGGAUAUUUUCUAUAGUAAGUUCUUCACGAGACAAGUGAGCAACGAACGCUGGGCAGUUCACGCGAAGAAGACACGCGUUUUACGGGUGAACGCCGCGUUAUUGCAACAGUAUUAAUUUACUGAGCGUU